UGCAAAGUUCAUGCUUGAAAACUGUGCAAU
rnacentral:piRNA from 1 species